rnacentral:misc_RNA from 1 species
CACAUAUAUAUAAUCUAAACUAUAUAUUGUUGUCCAGUUGGAUGAUGAAGCUGCUACUCUUGGCCUUCAUUAUUGGUGGAUCAAUCACUUGUUGUCGUGGAGUUGAACUUGAAAGCUUGGCUUCUCAAAAGGGAAGGAAUGAGGAAAUUGCUUGUCAACUUGCAGGUAAAGAAAAUAUUAGGACUACCUUCUUGGCUUGUGAUGAUGUGAAGAGAAACCAUAUGAAUACGAAGGAAAAGGUGAGGAAAUAUGAAACUCUACUACCUGCUGCUUCAGAGCAAAUUGUUGAUGAAAAUUUAAGAU